rnacentral:ncRNA from 3 species
GGAUAACAAUCCUGUGAUGGUUCCUUCCGGGCGUUCCGGAAGGUGAAAAGGGAACACGAUAGGGAGAAAUCCUCAUUCGUGGCUGCCCCCGCAACUGUGAGCGGAGAGCCUGAAACGAAGUGCCACUGGCAAGCCAUUUUCCGGGAACCGAGGUUUCCAGGGAGGGCGAUGCCGGGAAGGUGUUUCAGGUUUUGACCCGUAAGCCAGGAGACCUGCCAUCACGGAAAUGUCCAUG